AUGGAGUUUCGCUCUUGUUGCCCAGGCUGGAGUGCAAUGGCGCGAUCUUGGCUCACUGCAACCUCAGCCUCCCGGGUUCAAGAGUUUCUCCUGCCUCAGCCUCCUGAGUAGCUGGGAUUACAGGUCUCUGAAUGAGGGCUCUGCUAAGCUGAAUCCAAAGCUUUCUGCUCUUGUAUUUAUUUCUGAAUGCUGUCAGACUGAGAAUGACACCUUUGAAACCCAAACAGAGACUGGGCACAGUGGCUCAUACCUGUAAUCCCAGCACUUUGGGAAGCCCAGUGUCAGGCCUCUGAGCCAAAGCUCAGCCAUUAUAACCCCUGUGACCUGCACAUAUACAUCCAGGUGGCCUCAGGAGCCAAGAAGUUUGGAGCAGCCAAAAAACCACAAAGAAGUAAAACAGCCAGUUCCUGCCUUAACUCAUUAACCAACGUUACAACAUUUUACCACUGUGACUUGUCCCUGCCCUACCUUAGCUGAUCAAUCAACUUUGUGACAUUCUUCUUCUGGACAAUGAGUCUUAUGAUCUCCCCACAACAUACCUUGUGACCCCCUCCGCUAACAAUAGAUAACCACCUUUUACUCUAAUUUUCCAUUACCUACCCAACUCCUAUAAAGCAACCCCUUCCCCAUUUCCCUUUGCUGACUGUCUUUUUGGACUCAGCCCACCUGCACCCAGGUGAAUUAAAAGCUUUAUUGUUCACACAAA